rnacentral:lncRNA from 1 species
GUUCGGCUGAGGAAGGGAGCGCACGCCGGCGGCGCGGAGGCCGGCUCUGCGCUUCGGGCCGCCCCCUCCCCCCACCCCGCUCACACCCGGCACUUACUUCGGCUGUCUCCGCUGCCCUCCAGCGGAGACGCAGCUCCUCAGGCGCCCGGCGGUAUUUGUUGGGUCGGCGGCGUCAGGGAUUCGCAGUGGCCUGUGGUCGGCGUCGUCCGGCCACUGGUGCGCCCCCGCGGCAGGCAGAGCUCACGCUCCUGUCCCCCGGCUGGUCCGGGGUCUGGGCGCCGCGUCGACGGCGGCUCCGCAGGACGCGCAGACCGGGCCGCAGCCCAUUCCCCGAGCGGACUGCAUUAUGAGGCACCUGCCUUACUUCUGCCGGGGUCAAGUGGUGCGGGGCUUCGGCCGCGGCUCCAAGCAGCUGGGCAUCCCCACAGGAAACACAUAUCAUGCAUACCUUCAAAGAGGACUUCUAUGGGGAAAUCCUCAAUGUGGCCAUUGUUGGCUACCUGAGACCAGAAAAGAACUUUGAUUCUUUAGAGUCACUUAUUUCAGCAAUUCAAGGUGAUAUUGAAGAAGCUAAGAAACGACUAGAGUUACCAGAACAUUUGAAAAUCAAAGAAGACAAUUUCUUCCAGGUUUCUAAAAGCAAAAUAAUGAAUGGCCACUGAUGAAAAAUUGUAUUAUUUAUUCAUUCACUGUUUUCUAGUGUUUCUGUGUUUAUUACUGUUCAGCAUCAUCUUGGUUAUAUACUGAAAAUCA